rnacentral:lncRNA from 1 species
GUACCCCCGAGAAUUAUGGGUGGUUGGAUUCCACCAUCAGACAGCUCCUUUGAGGGGAUCGACAUGCUCGGACCAACUGCUGGAGAAGAGGACCUCUCUUCCCCUCGAGCAGGAGGAAUUGGAAUAGAAGCCAAAGAUUUUUGAGGAGAACUUGAUUGAGCAGGCAUGGAAACCUUAACCUGGCAAGAUGCGCUCUAGUGGUCGGGGAUUGCACCCACGAUAGUACCCUCAGUCGGGAGGAUCCGCUCAACUGGUGCUCCUUGUUGGCUGACCUCAGUGGCUCUUACCUUCUUUAUAGGACCCUCGGUAGCUA